rnacentral:rRNA from 1 species
AUUGAACGCUGGCGGCAUGCCUUACACAUGCAAGUCGAACGGCAGCACGGGUGCUUGCACCUGGUGGCGAGUGGCGAACGGGUGAGUAAUACAUCGGAACAUGUCCUGUAGUGGGGGAUAGCCCGGCGAAAGCCGGAUUAAUACCGCAUACGAUCUACGGAUGAAAGCGGGGGACCUUCGGGCCUCGCGCUAUAGGGUUGGCCGAUGGCUGAUUAGCUAGUUGGUGGGGUAAAGGCCUACCAAGGCGACGAUCAGUAGCUGGUCUGAGAGGACGACCAGCCACACUGGGACUGAGACACGGCCCAGACUCCUACGGGAGGCAGCAGUGGGGAAUUUUGGACAAUGGGCGAAAGCCUGAUCCAGCAAUGCCGCGUGUGUGAAGAAGGCCUUCGGGUUGUAAAGCACUUUUGUCCGGUAAGAAAUCCUUGGCCCUAAUACGGUCGGGGGAUGACGGUACCGGAAGAAUAAGCACCGGCUAACUACGUG